rnacentral:lncRNA from 1 species
GUCCAUUCCAAAGGAGUGAUCCUAAGAACACAAGGUGGUGUUAGCCACUUUCGCAUUUACAAUUAAUGCACCUUGUGUUCUCAGGACACCCCUUUGGAAAACACUGUUUACCUAUACAAUUUCGGUUAUGGACGAUGAUUCGAGUAUGAGCCCAAACCACCAAAUGCAACUACCAUGUGGGUGUCGCCUAUUUGUAACUAAGAAAGCAAUCCUGCAACUCAUAUUCCGUUGGUUUUGAAAGUGUCUACUCGGAGCUAGGGAGAAACUUUAAAUUUCGGUGUUUCAUGACUUAGAGAGAUAAGUUAGUGUUCUAAGAGUUAUAAUUUGUUGAUAUCACUUACACUAC